GAACGCUGGCGGCAGGCCUAACACAUGCAAGUCGAGCGGGGACUUCGGUUCUAGCGGCGGACGGGUGAGUAACGCGUGGGAAUGUGCCCUUCUCUACGGAAUAGCCCUGGGAAACUGGGAGUAAUACCGUAUACGCCCUAUUGGGGAAAGAUUUAUCGGAGAAGGAUCAGCCCGCGUUGGAUUAGGUAGUUGGUGGGGUAAUGGCCUACCAAGCCGACGAUCCAUAGCUGGUUUGAGAGGAUGAUCAGCCACACUGGGACUGAGACACGGCCCAGACUCCUACGGGAGGCAGCAGUGGGGAAUCUUAGACAAUGGGGGCAACCCUGAUCUAGCCAUGCCGCGUGAGUGAUGAAGGCCUUAGGGUUGUAAAGCUCUUUCAGCUGGGAAGAUAAUGACGGUACCAGCAGAAGAAGCCCCGGCUAACUCCGUG
rnacentral:rRNA from 1 species